GGCCUUUCGUUUCUGUUAAUGCAAGUGUGCUGUGCUCUCUGUUCUCUCUGAAAUCUCUUCUGUGUGGAAGAGAUUUUAGGGUUUUUUUCAUGUAUUUUGAUGUUGUCUGAGGCAGGCUGUGGAGAUGCAGGGUGGAAAUGCUUGCCAAGUUGGUGUUUGGGCUGACUAACAGCAUUAGAGUAGAGCAACUCUGCUGGUGAUAGCCCAUAUAUCUCCCUUAGGCACAGAGUAAAGGCAAAGAAACCAUUUGCUAGCUGGCUCCCCCACCCUUUUUCCCGUUGUCCUUUCCUUUGUGACAGCGGGACAGUCAGAGUUUCUGUACUCCGUGCUCCAGCCACUGCAGGUCUGGGAGCUGCCUGCCCAGCUUGGAAAUUCCAGUCUCUCACCAAGACCUCUCCCCUAGCUAGUGAUGAGCUGCAAGAACUGUGCAGGCUGAUUGAUCUGAAAUAGAGGACUGGAAAACAAAAUAAAAACCAAUUCAGAUAAUUGUUAUGGCUUCUCCAUUAACCCCUGAGACUUAUUCGUGUAGCACUGGGCACAUCUGUCAAUGCUCCACUGAGACUCUUAAAAUGCAAUGCAGUAUUCUAGAGACUCCUGAGGGGAGGAUGAGGAGAAAAAAUGCUUUAGGGGUUCACCAUGUUUCUGUACCACAAACAGAUUUGCUUUGUAUUGCAUUUUUGUUACUUAUUCCACAAGAUUGCUGCAUAACCAGUAUCAAUAAAAUAUAUUCCAAAAAUAGAAGAAAAUGUAUCAUUAAACAUGGUGAUUUUAAGUGGAAGCUUUUGGACUAGUUUCUAUUGUAAUGUGACGUUUCCCUUGUUUUGCUCUCCUUGCGCAUCUUUCCUUUCCCUUGGGGAUCUGUUAACCAAGUAUUGCUUGGAUACAUGCUUUUUGCUUUGCUGUCAUGCAAAAUUUGAAAAGUUUUUGGUGUGAAUUUUUUUUGUGCAGGUCACUUUUCACUGCAAGAUGUUAACAAAUGUUUUGCAUCUCACUUAGAAUCAGACCAGUCAGAUUUUUUUUUUAAUUAAUAAAAAAAUUUAUUAAUUGAAA